rnacentral:lncRNA from 1 species
AGUUUGAAAGGAUCGUGUGUUAACCUUGAAAAAAAAACAGUAAAUAAAAACUGAAAUUGAAAACUUACAAAGUUUUUAUUGAAAUUGGGAAAACAUUACAAGAUUGUACAAGAGAGAAUGGGCAGAGAGAAUUUCUUAUGGUAGGAAAUUUUCAAAUGCCUUCUCUAAAGGAGGGGCUUGCCUUUUAUAGGCGAGGGGAUAUAACCUUGAAAAAAAAACAGUAAAUAAAAACUGAAAUUGAAAACUUACAAAGUUUUUAUUGAAAUUGGGAAAACAUUACAAGAUUGUACAAGAGAGAAUGGGCAGAGAGAAUUUCUUAUGGUAGGAAAUUUUCAAAUGCCUUCUCUAAAGGAGGGGCUUGCCUUUUAUAGGCGAGGGGAUACAUUAAAUGUAACAGAUUGAUACAAGUGGACGGCUANN